CCUCCUUUCUAAGGAUGAAUGAAAGUAAAAUUUCAUUCUAAAUAAUAUACAUCGGUAAUGUUGACCGUCCUCAUUUCUCUUCUUAAAGUAAUGUUUCCUUCUUGUAGGGCCGGUAGCUCAGUUGGUUAGAGCACACCCUUGAUAAGGGUGGGGUCGAAAGUUCGAGUCUUUCUCGGCCCACCAAACUUAACUGGGGGAUUAGCUCAGCUGGGAGAGCGCCUGAUUUGCAUUCAGGAGGUCAGCGGUUCGAUCCCGCUAUCCUCCGCCAGGAAACAUUUAGUUAUUAGAACUGUAAAUAAAAAUAAUUUAUAUCAAUAUCUAUAUCCGAACAUUAAAAGUUAUUAUUUAAUGUUCAAAAUAAAAAUUUGAUCACCACACAUAUAAAUUUUCUUUUUAGAAAGAAUUUUUUUCUGUGCAUAAUC
rnacentral:tRNA from 1 species